rnacentral:misc_RNA from 1 species
CAAAAUCCGGUUUGGGUUGGUGGUGGGGGUUAGAUUGUGGGUAGAAGGGAGUUUUCUCUUCUACUACUCUACUUACUACCCGCCCCCCCUCAUCAUUUGCGCUUGUAUUGUUUGACAGAGUAAUUUUCUUUACAUAAAUGA